AUGGCUAGCCCUGGUGUUGUUUUGAGCCUGGUGUAUUUGCUGUUUCUUCUCCCCUCACUAAACGCAGCCAACUCUCAGAAAAAGACAUACAAUGAUAACAACUCUGGACUUUCCAACACCCAGUCCAAAUGUCACAACGUCUAUACUUCCAACAAUUUUUACGUAGGACCGAACAAGAAGAUCGAAACACUGCUUCUUGAAACAUUAACGAAUCUUUAUUUUGCAUUUUUAGUGUACACGAAUUGUCUUGAAGUCUACAAGGCUGGUAAACGAAUAAGCGGUGUUUAUACCAUCAACCCUGAUAAUACUGGUGCCUUUGAUGUGUUUUGUGACCAAACAACAGCCGGUGGGGGGUGGACAGUGUUCCAGAAGAGACUGGAUGGCUCGGUUGAUUUCUACCGCGGUUGGGAUGACUACAAACGAGGCUUCGGAAAUCUGAACGGUGAAUUUUGGCUCGGACUGGACAAGAUUCAUCGCCUGACAAAACAACGAAGCAGGCUUCGAGUGGAUCUUGAAGACACGACUGGAAAAACAGCUUACGCCGAGUACGACUUCUUUGAUGUGGCCAGUGAGAAUAGUAAAUACAAACUGAGUCUUGGAACAUACUCUGGAACUGCCGGUGACUCUCUUUCCUGUCAUCGUGGUUUAGCGUUCUCCACCAAAGAUCGUGACAAUGACAAGGAUUCUGGCAGCUGUGCUACGAUUCGUAAGGGCGCCUGGUGGUUCAAAAGCUGUCUCCACUCCGACCUGAAUGGUAAAUAUCUCAACGGCCAACAUUCUUCUACUUGGAAUGGUGUGGUCUGGUAUCACUGGAAAGGAAAAAACUACUCCGCUAAACGAGCUGAGAUGAAAAUCAAACCAGUUUUAAACUAGAACCAAGUGUACUUGUGCGGCUUUUAAAUGGCAUAAGUAACUUGAUUCUUGAAUUAAGUGAGCUUUCUAUAGCCUAAGUGCUCUUGUGCCACUCUACCACUGCGUGAUUUGAUUAUCAGAUCUAAAACGAUUUCUCAGUAGGUGAUGGGUUUAUAUUACUUGUGUCCAUGAACAACUCGCUUCAUUGUAUGA